AAAUUGAAGAGUUUGAUCAUGGCUCAGAUUGAACGCUGGCGGCAGGCCUAACACAUGCAAGUCGAACGGUAACAGGAAGAAGCUUGCUUCUUUGCUGACGAGUGGCGGACGGGUGAGUAAUGUCUGGGAAACUGCCUGAUGGAGGGGGAUAACUACUGGAAACGGUAGCUAAUACCGCAUAAUGUCGCAAGACCAAAGAGGGGGACCUUCGGGCCUCUUGCCAUCGGAUGUGCCCAG
rnacentral:rRNA from 1 species